GAUGAACGCUGGCGGCGUGCCUAACACAUGCAAGUCGAGCGAACACAUGAGGAGCUUGCGCCCCUGACGUUAGCGGCGGACGGAUGAGUAACACGUGGAUAACCUACCUCUAAGACUGGGAUAACUUCGGGAAACCGGAGCUACUACCGGAUAAUAUAUCUAACCGCAUUGUUCAAUAGUUAAAGACGGUUUUUGUGUCACUUAUAGCCGGAUCCGCGUCGCAUGAGUUAGUUGGUAAGGUAACUGCUUACCAAGGCGACGAGGCGUAGCCGCCCUGAGAGGGUGGUCGGCCACACUGGAACUGAGACACGGUCCAGACUCCUACGGGAGGCAGCAGUAGGGAAUCUUCCGCAAUGGGCGAAAGCUUGACGGAGCAACGCCGCGUGAGUGAUGAAGGUCUUCGGAUCGUAAAGCUCUGUUGUUAGGAAAGAACAAAAGUGUAAGUAACUAGGCACGUCUUGACAGUACCGAAUCAAAAAGCCACGGCUAACUACGUG
rnacentral:rRNA from 1 species